GAGUUUGAUCGUGGCUCAGCCUGAACGCUGGCGGCGUGGCUAAGACAUGCAAGUCGCACGGACCCGCAAGGGUUAGUGGCGAACGGGUGAGUAAUGAAUCGCUAAUGUACCCCGGACUCUGGGAUAGCCGGUCGAAAGAUCGGGUAAUACCAGAUGAUAUAACCUGGCCGCAUGGUCGGGUUCUCAAAGGUCCGCCGGUCUGGGAGCAGGCGAUUUCGUAUCAGCUAGUUGGUGAGGUAACGGCUCACCAAGGCGACGACGCGUAGCCGGACUGAGAGGUUGGCCGGCCACAUUGGGACUGAGACACUGCCCAGACUCCUACGGGGGGCUGCAGUAACGAAUCUUCCGCAAUGUACGAAAGUAUGACGGAGCGACGCCGCGUGUAGGACGAAGCCCUUCGGGGUGUAAACUACUGUCAGGGGUUAGAAAGUUCUGAUCAACCCCAGAGGAAGGCACGGCUAACUCUGUGCCAGCCGCCGCAGU
rnacentral:rRNA from 1 species